AGCAAAAGCAUUAAAUUAAUUAUUUUGCAAUUUAGCACGACCUUUGCACGCACUGCUGGAGGUCUAGUAACGUUGCUGCCGGACACCGCGCGCAAAAGCCAAUACUUUCGCCAUUUUUUCGCUAUGCUUUCGGUCUCGGUUACGUCCUUUUCUUUCUCAUACAAAGAUGCUUUAUUUUUCAGUUAUAUCUAUUAGUACAUCGUUGAAAAUACACAACCUUUAACUUUCUGAUGUAUUACGACAGUUUAUAAAGAAAAAAAGAAGCUUGAACUCGCAAUAGCUUUGACUUCGCAUCGCCACUGAUAUCAAUUCAGCAACACGCGCCUCGAUGCAAGUGCGCAGCAAUGUUCCGGGCGCGAGCAGCGUGUGCUUUAUUUGUGUCUUUUCGACUUUUGUGCGGUUGACCAUGGCCCAACUAGAAAGUACUGGCUUUCUAUCUUGAAUCCGGUGGCCCCAGAAGCAGGUGCUGGCAAGCAGGCCAUGCACUUUUGGUCAUUAAUUAGUAUGUGAUACUACCCCUUACUAAUCAGUUUUAUUCUUUUUAAUUAUAAUUGUGGCACUGUGCCUACCAGUCAUUUUGUGCCUACUCGUUACUUGUGUUUUAAUAAAGUUUAAUUUUCAAGAAUCUCUUUUUGAUUACGUUUUUUUUUAGGUCCGCAUUUAACCUGCUUGUAUACAGCGAGAACAUGUAAUGCAUAAUUUCAUACAUGUGCGUGGCUGGGGGCUGAUCAUUUUUGUAAUAAAGCUUUAUCAGUUGUAUAAAUAAAAAAGUAACAUUGAUAUGACAUUGUGAGUUUCACUGGUGUGCUUUACCUAGUGCUUACUGAACUCACUAUUUUUCAUUUAUCCAUUGCAGGAUUUGUAAUGAUGCAUAAUGAUCAAAAUGCGGAUUUACGAUUUUCUUAGCACAGUUUUCGCAUUUUGAUGAGCGCUAGAACUAUAUAUAAAAGUUGACAGUCACUUUACCGAACACUGAAGAGGAUGAAGGCAGAAGCCUGCGCACUCACGAAGCAUUAAUUAAAUUAUUUGUCAUUCG